GCUUUAAAUAUGUUCAUUAUUUAAGAAAGGCAUUCUUUGAGAGACCCCCGCCCCCCAUUCAAAUUCAAGUUCACAAUUGUUCAGCUUUGUCAACUGUGUGCAAUUCUUUCCUGAUGGGAACAGAUUUGCCACAGCCAGUGCUGACGGCCAGAUACACAUGUAUGACGGUAAGACCGGGGAGAAGGUGUGAAUGCUGGGCAGAAGCAAGGCCCACGACAGCGGGAUUUAUGUCAUUAGUUUGGAGUCCGGACAGCACCCAUUGCUUUCUGCUUCUGGGGACAAAACUUCCAAGAUUUGGGAUGCCAACGUGAACUUGGUGGUCAGCACAAUUCCCAUGGGCUCCACGGUUCUGGACCAGCAGCUGGGCUGCCUGUGGAAGAAGGACCACCUGCUCAGUGUCUCCCCGUUCGGGUACAUCAACUAUUUGGACAGAAACAACCCCAGCAAGCCCCUGCGCGUCAUCAAGGGCCACAGUAAAUCGAUCCAGUGUCUGACGGUGCAUAAAAACGGAGGCAAGUCCUACACUUACUACCGGAGCCACGACGGACACAUUAAUUCCUGGGAUUCGGAGACAGGGGAGAAGGACUCUUUCGCUGGGAAGGGCCACACGAACCAGGUGUCCAGAUGGACCAUGGCGGAGCCACCAUGGGUGGCUCAUCAGCUGCUGCAUAGACGACACCGUGCGGUACACCAGCCUCACGCCGCGGGACUACAGUGGACAAGGAGUGGUGAAACUGGACGUUCAGCCAAAGUGCGCAGCCUUCGGCCCCGGGGUAUACGCCAUGGUCGGGUGCAUCCGGCAGAGAGUCCUGCUGGAGACUCAGAGGAAGUGCUUCAGCAAUCACAACCCCGGCUCCCAGCCCGGAGCUGUGGCCGCGCACCCCGGCGGAGGGGGGGCGCGCACGCACUUCCGCCCGCCCGUACUCCAUCUUGGGCACCAGGCUGAAGGACGAGGGCGAGCUCCGAGAGGCCAAGGGCCGGGUGACCGAGGUGGCCUCCUCCCACGACGGCGCUUUCCUCGCGGUGUGCGACGCCAGCAAGCUGGUCACGGUGUUCAACGUUGCCAGCGGCUACUCGAGAACAGUGUUUUUGAUGGACACCAUGCAAAAAUCGUCUGCCUGGCCUGGUCCCCAAACGAUGAACACUUUGGCCCCAGUGGCGGGGACAGGAUGGUGUACAUCUGGACCCUGAGUGACCCGGAAACCAGAGUCAAGAUCCAAGGCGCACAUCGGCUGCACUAUGUCAGCAGCCUGGCCUGGCAUGGCUGGACGAGCGCACGCUGGGCACGACCUCCCACGUUGCCUCUGUUAAGGAGUGGACAAUCACCUACUGAGGAGCCCCACCCCCGCCUCUGGACUGACCGAAUCAGGGACGAGAGUUGAACUGCAGUGGAACAUGUCAUUUCUCUAUUUCUGUGAUGCGCCUCUUUGCCCCCGCCCCACCGCAAGAGGCAGGAGGGCCCCGUCAUGAUCCUUGUCUCUGCGGGGUGUCUGUACACGUUCUUCUGAAAGCUUUAGACAGAAACGGAUUGCACAUGAGAAAUAAAGCGAGCACUUAAACAAUGUGUGGAGCGUUACUAAACCCAAAGCCCAACCAAACCUUGAGAAUGCGGAACAUUCCAGAGGAAUGUUUGGAGUAGCCUCCAAAGC